rnacentral:rRNA from 1 species
CCUACGGGUGGCAGCAGUGAGGAAUAUUGGUCAAUGGACGAGAGUCUGAACCAGCCAAGUAGCGUGAAGGAUGACUGCCCUCUGGGUUGUAAACUUCUUUUAUAUGGGAAUAAAACGUUCCAAGUGUGGGCUUUUGUCUGUACCAUAUGAAUACGGAUCGGCUAACUCCGUGCCCGCAGCCGCGGUCAGACGGAGGAUCCGAGCGUUAUCCGGAUUUAUUGGGGUUAAAGGGAGCGUAGGCGGAUUGUUAAGUCAGUUGUGAAAGUUUGCGGCUCAACCGUAACAUUGCAGUUGAAACUGGCAGUCUUGAGUACAGGAGAGGUGGGCGGAAUUCGUGGUGUAGCGGUGAAAUACUUAGAUAUCACGAAGAACGCCGAUUGCGAAGGCAGUUCACUGGACUGCAACUGACACUGAGGCUCGAAAGUGUGGGUAUCAAACAGGAUGAGAUACCCUAGUAGUC